rnacentral:lncRNA from 10 species
CGUGACACCUGCACGCCGGAGCCCUGCGUUAGUGAGAAGCAGCGACACCGUGACACCUGCACGCCGGAGCCCUGCGUUAGGCUGGGUAAGGGCGGGGACCUGGGCAUCACACAGUCUUAGAUGUGGGCCUGCCUCCAACAGCUCCCUCCUGGGUGUGAUGCUGAAGGGGGUCCUUGACACCUCUGAAGUCUCAGUCUCCUCAAGGUCACACCCAGCUUAUAGGAUUGUGCUUCUGUGGAUUAAACAAGACACAGCAGUCCUCCCUUAUCCAUGGUUCUGUUUUCCUUGGCCAAAAAUAUUAAAUAGAAAAUUCCAGAAAUAAACAAUUUAUGUUUUAAAUUGAAUGUUAUGAUGAAAUCUCACACCGUCCUGCUCCAUCCUGGCUGGGCGUGAAUCAUCCCUGUGUUCAGCAUAUCCACUGUCUAUACCCGCUACCCCUUAGUCACUUAGUUACUGUCUAGGUUGUCAGAUCAAAACCACAGUAUGGGCCGGGCAUGGUGGCUCAUGCCUGUAAUCCCAGUGCUUUGGGAGGUGGAGGUAGGAGGAUCAUUGGAGGCCGGGUGUUUAAGGCCAGCCUGGGCAACAUAGUGAGACCCUGUCUCAACAAAACAUUAAAAAGUUAGCCAGGCGUGGGUGGUAUACAUCUAUAGUCCUAGCUACUUGGGAGACUGAGGUGGGAGGAUCGCUUGAGUUCAGGAAUUGGAAGCUACAGUGAGCUAUGAUUGUGCCACUGCACUCCAGCUUGGGUGACAGAGGGAGACCCUGUCUAAAAAACAACAAAGAAACAAACAAAAACAUAGUCUAUAGAAAGCUUGAUACGAUCUGCAGUUUCAGGCAUUCACUGGGGGUCUUGGAAUGUAUCCCUCCUGAAUAAGGGGGUACCACUAUCUAUUACACACAUAUAACAUUCAGCAAAAUACUUAUCAAGGGCCUAUAAAUAUUAGCUUACAAAAGAUACUUUUAUUUGGGCUUCUGUCCUAGUCACUUAGAGGUCAUGCCUGCACCUGCCUUUGAAGAGCUUACAACCUAAUUAGGAGGUAAGACAUUAACAUGAGCAGACCACUAACAUAUAGGGCAGCCAGUAAAAAAUAAUAAUGAGGUGAUUCAGACUUUAUGUAUUUUAAGGGAUUUAGAGUAAGGAGAGUGGUAACUUCAAGCUGGGGUAGGGGCUGGGGUAUGGAAUGAGAAUGACUUUUUGCAAAGCAAACUAUACAUCCAUAUAUUGGAUCUUCUGUCACCCUCGAGGCAACCGUGUAAGGGUAAUGCCAACAUUACCCUUGGGUUAUUACCCAAGGGUAAUAACCAUGACUGGGUAAUGCCAACAUCCUGUCCUUGUGUAAUCAGUUUCCUGCAGGUCUCUCGCAUGCCAGUUACAGUUUAUACUGGUGGCUCCAGGCUGUUUGGAGUAAACCAUGGGAAUAAAAUGGAAUAGAGCGGUGGUUCUCAAACGUAAGUGUGUUCAGGAUCACUUGGAAGGUUUAUUAGAAACUCCACAGGCCCUGUCCCCAGAGAUUUGGAAAUGGGAGGUUUAGGGUACGGCCCAUGAGUUUGCAUUUCUAGCCAGUCCCCAGGUGAUGGCUGGGCUGAGUGUCUGUGGGCCACACGCUGGGAGCAGUGCUGGAGUGGAGCAGUGUCCAGGGCUGCCCUGGGAUGAGAGCAUGCAUCUGUGUCCCCUACUUACAGGGGGUGGCCUCUGAUGUACUCUCAGAACCUGGACUUCUUCCUGUAUAAACCUUUGAGGCUCAUGUCUUGGGUGACCUGGAGAGAAUUACUUUUUUUUUUUUUUUUUGAUGAGAUGGAGUUUCGCCUUUCUUGCCCAGGCUGGAGUGCAAUGGCGCAAUCUCGGCUCACCGCAACCUCCGUGCCUCCCAGAUUCAAGCAAUUCUCUUGCCUCAGCCUCCUGAGUAGCUGGGAUUACAGGCAUGUGCCACCAUA